rnacentral:lncRNA from 1 species
UUUAAGAAGCACCACAAGGACUACGACCAACACCACAAGCACCACAAGUCCCACAAAGAAGGCCAUCACAAAGGCGGAAAGCAUCAUUCUCACAAGCAUCACGACAAGCACGGCAAGAAAGGCCAUCAUAAGAAGGGUCACCAUCACCACCACGACAAGGGGCACAAGAAGCACUAUGGUGAUGAGGGUCACCACAAACAUCACAAGGCCUACGGUCACAAGAAAGGUCAUCACGAUCACCACGAGAGUCAUGACGAUCAUCAUUAGUGUGACGAUUUUUUACAUGUUUUCUGCGAGCUCUUUUAUUUCGUCGCUUAUUCAUCUCUUUACCGCUUUUUUCCUUGUUCGUAAAAAUUUAAUUCGUGGAAAACUUUCGAUGAAAAUCAAAAUAAAGCAGGUUGGAAUAAUUGUGGCUACGAGUGCAGAAUUUUACGACAAAAUUUUCGAAACGCCAAAAAUUUCAAGAAUCGAACAACCUGCAGCAUUUACGACACUUAGCAGGUCACAAAAAAUAUUUAUCUUUUGCUGUGAUCGUUGCCAGAAAUAUCUCCCCAUGAAUGAAAAGAGCGUACGAAGAAAUAUGAAAAGCUUGAAGGAAUUUAGUUGUUUCAGCGAAAUUUGUAAAUGUUCCUUCCGUGUGCAGUUUGUGUUGAGUUGUUGACUAUGUAGCUGUUGCUGCUCUGACUUCGAUGCAAUAUUGUUUCUGUUAUUAUUUUUAUUGUAUCAAAUGUAUGAUAAAAAUGUAAAAAAUAUAUAAAAGACAUUGAAUACCAAA